rnacentral:rRNA from 1 species
GGCUCAGGAUGAACGCUGGCGGCGUGCUUAACACAUGCAAGUCGAACGAAGAUGCCGGAGUGCUUGCACUUUGGCAGACUGAGUGGCGGACGGGUGAGUAACGCGUGGGUAACCUGCCUUAUACAGGGGGAUAACAGUUGGAAACGACUGCUAAUACCGCAUAAGCGCACGGUAUCGCAUGAUACAGUGUGAAAAACUCCGGUGGUAUAAGAUGGACCCGCGUCUGAUUAGCUUGUUGGUGAGGUAACGGCCCACCAAGGCGACGAUCAGUAGCCGGCCUGAGAGGGUGAACGGCCACAUUGGGACUGAGACACGGCCCAAACUCCUACGGGAGGCAGCAGUGGGGAAUAUUGCACAAUGGAGGAAACUCUGAUGCAGCGACGCCGCGUGAGUGAAGAAGUAGUUCGCUAUGUAAAGCUCUAUCAGCAGGGAAGAUAGUGACGGUACCUGACUAAGAAGCUCCGGCUAAAUACGUG